GACAUGGGUGGCAAACGUUAUCCGGAAUUAUUGGGCGUAAAGCGUGCGCAGGCGGCUUUGCAAGACAGAUGUGAAAUCCCCGGGCUUAACCUGGGAACUGCAUUUGUGACUGCAUGGCUGGAGUGCGGCAGAGGGGGAUGGAAUUCCGCGUGUAGCAGUGAAAUGCGUAGAUAUGCGGAGGAACACCGAUGGCGAAGGCAAUCCCCUGGGCCUGCACUGACGCUCAUGCACGAAAGCGUGGGGAGCAAACAGG
rnacentral:rRNA from 1 species